UGAGGGGGGUUAGGGUUAAAAUGUGUCAGAGGUCUCUUCUGUCAACAAACAUUUAUUUGUAAAACUGUAGCAAAUGGAACACUAUGUACUUGCCACUUCAACAUUUAUUAACAAAUGCAAUGCUUGAGUCAUGAAGUCCUUUGGAAAGAAAACAUUAGCCAACUAAAAGCAGGCAUAAUGUGCUGAAGUCCAUUCUAUAAUUUUGCUUACUGAAUGUUUGAAACCUGAUAAAUGAAAACAUUUGAACAACAUUAGCGAGAUAAAACAAUCUUACAGAUCACAUCAACAACCUAUGGCUGAGUGAUAUGGCCAAAAUAUAUAUUAUUAUAUAAAUUCUAAAUUUGCUGUAUAGGUUGUGGCCACAUACAUUCAAAUUGAUUUCAGUGGGUGCUUUUCCAUUUGGAUUAUUUUAUACUGUUCAAUUAAACUUCAACCAGAAGUUGAUCUCAUUUGAGAUCAUUCCCACACUGCCACAUAGUGCUGCACUAUAUAGGUGAAAAAUCUAGGCCUUAUUUUUACAAAAUAUUGCAAUUGUGAUUUGACUUGCGAUUUAGAUCAAAACACUUGGUUGAACUGUUGGAAUCAUGGACAUAUAAUACCUGUUCUAAUUCUAUAGUUAGAAUGUGAUAGUGGGCAAAAAGCCAGGAGGUGUUCAAAGAAUUAGAAUACUAACAGGAUCUCUAUGGAGGAAGUACACUAUAUAUGCAAAAGUAUGUGGACACCCCUUCCAAUUAGUGGAUUCGGCUAUUUCAGCCACACCCAUUGCUGACAGGUGUAUAAAAUCAAGCACACAGCCAUGCAAUCUCCAUAGACAAACAUUGGCAGUAGAAUGGCCUUACUGAAGAGCUCAGUAACUUUCAAUGUGGACCGUAAUAGGAUACCACCUUUCUAACAAGUCAGUUCGUCAAAUCUCUGCUAGAGCUGCCCCGGUCAACUGUAAGUGCUGUUAUUGUGAGGUAGAAAUGUCUAGGAACAACAACAGCUCAGCCUCGACGUGGUAAACCACACGGGACUGCCGAGUGUUGAAGCGUGAAAAUCGUUUGUCUUCGGUUGCAACACCAAACUGCCUCUGGAAGCAACUUCAGCACAAUAACUGUUUGUCGGGAGCUUCAAGAAAUGGGUUUCCAUGGCCGAGCAGAUGCACACAAGCCUAAGAUUACCAUGGUGUAAAGCUUGCCGCCAUUGGAGUCUGGAGCAGUGGAAACGUGUUCUCUGGAGUGAUGAAUCACGCUUCACCAUCUGACAGACCGACGGAUGAAUCUGGGUUUGGCGGAUGCCAGUAGAACGCUACCUGCCCGAAUGCAUAGUGCCAAAUGUACAUUUUGGUGGAGGAGGAAUAACGGUCAGGGGCUGUUUUUCAUGGUUCGGGUCAUGGUCCCUUAGUUCCAGUGAAGGGAAAUCUUAACGCUACAGCACACAAUGACAUUCUAGACGAUUCUGUGCUUCCAACUUUGUGGCAACCGUUUGGGGAAGGCCCUUUCCUGUUUCAGCAUGACAAUACCUCUGUGCACAGAUGUAGAAGAGUAGGGAGGUAAGGCAAUAAAUAGGCCAUAGAGACAAAAUAAUUACAGUUUAGCGUUUACACUGGAGUGACAGAUGUGCAGAUGAUGAUGUGCAAGUAGAGAUACUGGGGUGCCAAAGAGCAAAGGGAUAAGUAACAAUAUGGGGAUGAGGUAGUGGGGUGUGCUGUUUACAGAUUGGCUGUGUACGUACAGGUACAGUGAUCGGUAAAGGAAGUGUUGGCUUUGGGGAUGACCAGUGAAAUAUACCUGCUGGAGCGCGUGCUACCGGUGGGUGUUGCAUACACACCCACACACAGGUCCAGAGGAAGAGAGACAGAGAGCCUGAGAUUUCAUUAAAGGUAAAUUACAUUUUAAUCCUUUCAUUUCCUCAAAAAUGUUACUACCAGCAUUUAAACAUAUUACUAUUAUUAAAAGUUACUAUGCAAUAUUAAGCUAUACCUCAAAUGUUUUUUUACUAAACAUUUAUAUAAAUCCGACAUUAUAACAAUAUUACAUUUUAAUAGCCUUAAAUGUUUAUGUAUAAUUGUUUUUUGUUUUUUUAACUGUAUUCAUAUAAAAUAAUGCCUUUGCUCCUUGAUCAGGGCUUCUAAACCCACAGCCCCACAACUUGAUGCAACCAGAGGGCCCGAGGAAGAGAGACAGAAGACCAGAGGAAGAGCUGUCAUCAGUUGAAGAGAGUCUGGUAGAGCCACUUGAGAUUCAGCUGGAGCAUGUUACCAAGCAGGCCUCAGAGAUGGAAGCAGAGAAGAAGAGGUAGAGGACCAGUAGAAACAGUAGAACCCCCAGCAGUUCCCAUGCUCGAUGUCUGGAGAAGAUCUUCUAUAAGAGACAUCUUCAAACUCAACUCUUAUACCUUACACUGGGCUAAAAAGAGAGACGAGUUGUGUUCACACAAAACAAUAACUCUGUACGAACUUCCUGCUCGUCCAUCUGCCUGUCCAUGAAGACUCACCUUGUAUAGUUAAGUGGCCAGCCUCAGGGGAGGAGCUAGGCAGUCUGAAAAACAGAAUAAUAUUGCCAAGCCUAAACAGCACAUGUCCUGCAGAUCUUUGACUAAAUUAUAGUAUGGUCUGAUAACGGGGACCAUUGGUUUUUGAUGAUCACUAUACCUGUAAAAUCAUGUAUAAUAACUCAAACCAUCUCUGGUCCUGGGACAAGAGACAAACGUUGGGAUUCUCUACCUGCUGCAGUACGCUCCGUUCCCCCUAUUGGUUGUAAACCAUCCGUUCACAACUCUGUUUCUAGGACAGGUUGCUAUGGUUGCCUUGUCUAACUCUCCUGAACAAGUCAAAGGACUGGGGUCAGCCAAUUAGGUGCCCACCUGCGCUAGGAGAACCCCCAACACUGUCUAUGAGCUCCUCAGUCUCUUUCUGCAGCUUCAGGAGUCAACAGCUGGUUUAUAAACCUUCUGGCUGCAUCGACAGAGGGCCUCACCUAUGGACCUCACCCAUGGACACACUUCUUCACUCUGGACUUUCUCUAACAUCAUUGUGGUGUUUGUGGCUGAAUACCAUAAAACCACAGUUCACCAUUCCAUCAGUCCUCUUCCUGUCGCUGUGUGUGUGUGCCCCUGUCUGUUCAGUGUGGUAAUAAAGUGUGGAUUGUA